AAAGGAAAAGAAGGGAGAUAGGUGAUUUCAGAAACUUCUUUGCUCAUUCUGGUAAUUGGCCCAUAUAUGCCCACUCUGCUUUCUUGGAACCUCAUCAAGUUGUUCCUGCAGUUCUGGAAGCCUGGUGCUCUAUAUCUCCAUCAUCAAGUAUGAAAAAUGAAAUUAUAAAUUCAAAGACUAACAGUUUCUUUGUCAAGUCAUGGGAAGGUGAUUGGUUGUUUUUCCAAGGAGGCCUGAUGGGGAUUAUCAAGAUAUUGCAGAACCACUCCCAGAGUCUAAUCAGACUCCUUAUAUGAUUCCCUCUGAUGAGAAAGUUCACAUGAAUCAUCUCUCCACAUUUGAAUAUUUACAGAAUCACAUGUGAAUGGAAACAUCUCCUCCACAGUUUCUAUGUCUUCAAUGAAAUAGAAGUAAAGUGAAUGUCAAUUCAAGUACCAAUAUUGUGGUGAACACAUUUUUAUUUAGUCAUACUGCAUUUCUUUUAAAUCCUUAGUGGUUUAUAGUUAAUCACAUAAAUGAUAUGGGUGUUAUGGUUUUUUAAUUAAAAUAUAUACACAGUUGCAGUCAGUGAUUGAGAAAGAUUGAGAAAGAAAUUAUGAAAUGAAAUGGACUGUUCUUGUGGUAUACACUUAAACAGGGCAAACAAGUUUAGCUCUCCAUAAAGGAACUGCAUUUAUAAAUUUCAGCAUUAAAUUCACCACUGCUUUGCUGACUAAUAAAAUGGAGAAUGUGUGCUUUUAUUGGUUUAUA
rnacentral:lncRNA from 1 species